ensembl:snRNA U6 U6 spliceosomal RNA
GUAUACAUACGUAUAUAUAUAGGGAUCAAUGGGAAUGAUUCCAAGAAGAUUAGCAUAGCCCCUGCACAGGGACGGCAUGCAAAUUCAUGAAGCAUCCCAUAUUUUA